rnacentral:misc_RNA from 1 species
GAUUGAAGAACGUAGCGAAAUGCGAUAAGUAAUGUGAAUUGCAGAAUUCAGUGAAUCAUCGAAUCUUUGAACGCACAUUGCGCCCGCCAGUAUUCUGGCGGGCAUGCCUGUCUGAGCGUCAUUUCAACCCUCAGCGCCCGUCCGCGGGAGCUGGUGUUGGGGAUCGGCCGUCCUUGCGGCGGCCGGCCCCGAAAUCUAGUGGCGGUCUCCUCGCGACCUCCUCUGCGUAGUAACACUACCUCGCAGCUGGAUAGCGGUCUGACCACGCCGUAAAACCCCAACUUCUCAAGGUUGACCUCAGAUCAGGUAGGAAUACCCGCUGAACUUAAGCAUAUCAAUAAGCGGAGGA